rnacentral:rRNA from 1 species
UGGGGAAUAUUGCACAAUGGGCGCAAGCCUGAUGCAGCAACGCCGCGUGAGGGACGACGGCCUUCGGGUUGUAAACCUCUUUUAGCAGGGAAGAAGCGAAAGUGACGGUACCUGCAGAAAAAGCACCGGCUAACUACGUGCCAGCAGCCGCGGUAAUACGUAGGGUGCAAGCGUUAUCCGGAAUUAUUGGGCGUAAAGAGCUCGUAGGCGGUUUGUCGCGUCUGCUGUGAAAACCCGAGGCUCAACCUCGGGCCUGCAGUGGGUACGGGCAGACUAGAGUGCGGUAGGGGAGAUUGGAAUUCCUGGUGUAGCGGUGGAAUGCGCAGAUAUCUGGAGGAACACCGGUGGCGAAGGCGCUGCUCUGGGCCGGUACUGACGCUGAGGAGCGAAAGCGUGGGUAGCAAA